rnacentral:lncRNA from 1 species
CCUAGCUGGGCUUGGGGCGGGGCCGAGACGGAGCGAGGGGUCCAGGGCGUGGGAAACGGGGAGGGGUUUGAGGAGGGGAUCGGAAUGUGGCUCAAGUUCGGGAGGCGUUACCUGCGGAGGGUUUGAGGCAGGUCCAGGAGCGAGCCCACGGUCCGCCGACGCGGGACCAGGGGCGGGCCCCAGGAUCCGGAGCUUCGGGCGGGGCCGAGUCCGGGUUUGGGGCCCGGAAGGCGGGGCCAGUUAGGGCGAGGGUCCCUGGGAUCGUCAGGUCAGGCCUUGGGCUAACGUAGGCACUCUCGCAGUUCCUCCGCCUUCAGGAAAGUCUUUUUAGCAGGGGCCUUACGGGUUCGCGCUUUGGUCCUGGAGGCCUUAUCCUAGCCUCCUCUGUAUCAGCGCCACCAGUCUGGGGCCCGAAAGGAGGGAGCUUUCCCUCUGUCCCCCAGCCUUUGGACUGUCACCAAACAAGCCAUUCGUUCACCAAAUACUUAUUAAGCGCCUACCAUGUGCCUGACAAGGGAGAUGUAACGCUGUUGUUCCCCACCAGAACCAAAUGAGCGCAAGAUCUGACAAAGAAAAAAAGAAGUUCAUCUUUUAUUCCCCCAAACCCUUUCAUUUAAAUCAAGAGGGUGGGAUGUGGUUAUUGCUGUGUUUUUAGGCAGAAUCAACGGUUUCUGGGUCUGAGAAGUUGCAUACACACUCUCAGUCCCUGUAUCCUGAGAUGGAGUCACCUGAGGAUCCACAGCAAGUCCUAACCAGGGAUGGGUCUGGGUGAUUAAGGAAGGUUGGCUUCAGAACUGGGCCAGAGGCACUGCUUUGCUUUUGCUGUUUUGAUCAGCUCUGUGCCUGCAUGAGACAAGGAAAAUCAAUGGGAACAGCCCAGUAAAGUCGCCAUUCCCCAUUUUACAGCUGGGGAAACUGAGUUACAGAGCUUUUCUGCACUGAGUCAUCAGGAGCAAAUGCUAGAUCAGAUAGAGUCUCUCUCUCUGCCACCCAGGCCAGAGUGCAGUUGACGCAGGGCAGGGGAGCCCCGAAGUGGAGCAUAGUGUGUCCGGAACUGGUGGGUUCUUGGUCUCCCUGACUUCAAGAAUGAAGCCACGGACCCUCGGGAAAUGAGGCUUCUCCCCAGGACCAGCAUUCCACGAAGGCAGCCCUUUUCUAGAUGGAGAAAACAGAACCUGAAGACACCCGUUUCCCUAAACUGCUCUCGCUCAUGUAAACUCCUGGAGGGCAGAGGCAUGCCUGCCAUCUUCAUCAUUGCAUUACCACCACCCAACACUAUCGGGGGACCUGCCCUGAUAAUCAGUCUACAGGUGUAUCCAGCAGCUCCAGAGAGACAGCGACCAGCGAGAAGGGGCCAUGAUGAUGGUGGUGGUUUUGUCAAAACGAAAAGGGGGAUAUGUAGGGAAAAGAAAGAGAGAUCAGACUGUUACUGUGUCUACAUAGAAAGGGAAGCCAUAAGAGACUCCAUUUUGAAA